UACGAAGGGGGCUAGCGUUGUUCGGAAUCACUGGGCGUAAAGGGCGCGUAGGCGGCCGAUCAAGUCGGGGGUGAAAGCCUGUGGCUUAACCACAGAAUUGCCUUCGAUACUGUUUGGCUUGAGACCGGAAGAGGUAAGUGGAACUGCGAGUGUAGAGGUGAAAUUCGUAGAUAUUCGCAAGAACACCAGUGGCGAAGGCGGCUUACUGGUCCGGUUCUGACGCUGAGGCGCGAAAGCGUGGGGAGCAAACAGG
rnacentral:rRNA from 1 species